GGAGACAGGUGCUGCAUGGCUGUCGUCAGCUCGUGUCGUGAGAUGUUGGGUUAAGUCCCGCAACGAGCGCAACCCUUGCCUUUAGUUGCCAGCAGUUCGGCUGGGCACUCUAAAGGGACUGCCGGUGUUAAACCGGAGGAAGGUGGGGAUGACGUCAAGUCCUCAUGGCCUUUAUGACCAGGGCUACACACGUACUACAAUGGCCGAUACAAAGGGCAGCGACACGUGCGAGGUGAAGCCAAUCCCGUAAAAUCGGUCUCAGUCCGGAUUGGAGUCUGCAACUCGACUCCAUGAAGUUGGAAUCGCUAGUAAUCGUGGAUCAGCAUGCCACGGUGAAUACGUUCCCGGGCCUU
rnacentral:rRNA from 1 species